AAAGACUCAGGUAUAAAAGCAUCUAGACUCGUUUUCUGUCAUCAGUACACCUUCUACAGUCCUAUAGAAUUACGUCAACAACAACAAUAACAAGAUGACCUUCUCCUGCACCACCACCACCACCACCACUCGGUUUCUCUGCCUCGCCUUCAUCGUCUCCUUUAGUUUAUGCCUCGGCGUUAGUUCCUCACCAGUGCCUGAAGGUCAAGGAAGAUUUAUUACCAGCGAAUCACCAUCUGAUGACCCCAGUAACUUGUUGAAUAUCUUAACUAACCUCAACCUUUUCUCUUCACCAGCAAAUCCUAAUCCAACCAUUGUUGUUCCGCCGUCUCUUGAAGGUUUUGCAUCUCAGUUUGUCGAUGGGUCCACUGACUGCCCAACAGGUCAAAGCUGUGUAAUUGCAGCCAGCUUUCAACCUAAUACAGGGCUUGUGAGCUUCUUCCAAAGCUUGUGUCCAACCUGUGGAUAAAUUUCGGAAAACAAAACAAAACUCUCUCCCCUACCGAUGAGAAUUUUGAGCAGCAAAUCAAUGUUGUUUAUACCUCUUAAUUAAUGUUCGUUUACACCUGUUAAUUAUUUUUUACACAUGUUUGCUAAUGUUGUUUACACCUGUUAAUUAUUGUUUAUAUUUGUUGAUUAAUGUUCAUUUACAUCUGUUAAUUAUUGUUUACACCUGUUGACUAAUAUUGUUUACACCUGUUAAUUAUUGUUUACACCUAUUGAUCCAUGUUGUUUACACCUGUUAAUUAUUGUAAUAAAGUUUAAAAUGUUGA